UCUGUAGGCGGUGCGGCAAGUCGGGAGUGAAAUCUCGGGCUUAACUCCGAGUCUGCUUCCGAAACUGCCGUGCUCGAGUGUGGGAGAGGUGAGUGGAAUUGCAGGUGUAGCGGUGAAAUGCGUAGAUAUCUGCAGGAACACCAGAGGCGAAGGCGGCUCACUGGACCACAACUGACGCUGAGAGACGAAAGCUAGGGGAGCAAACAGGAUUAGAUACCCUGGUAGUCCUAGCCCUAAACCAUCAGGACUUGGCGUGGGUCCCGUUCGGGGCCCGUGUCGGAGCUAACGUGUGAAGUCCUGCGCCUGGGGAGUACGGUCGCAAGGCUGAA
rnacentral:rRNA from 1 species